rnacentral:rRNA from 1 species
GAUGAACGCUAGCUACAGGCUUAACACAUGCCAGUCGCGGGGCAGCAUGGGGGUUGCUUGCAAUCCCCGAUGGCGACCGGCGCACGGGUGAGUAACGCGUAUCCAACCUGCCCUUCACCACGGGAUAACCCGGCGAAAGUCGGACUAAUACCGUAUGUUGUCCAUUGACGGCAUCCGAUUUGGACGAAAGGUUUGGCGGUGAAGGAUGGGGAUGCGUCCGAUUAGCUGGACGGCGGGGUGACGGCCCACCGUGGCGACGAUCGGUAGGGGUUCUGAGAGGAAGGUCCCCCACACUGGAACUGAGACACGGUCCAGAAUCCUACGGGAGGCAGCAGUGAGGAAUAUUGGUCAAUGGGCGUAAGCCUGAACCAGCCAAGUAGCGUGCAGGAGGACGGCCCUAUGGGUUGUAAACUGCUUUUAUGCGGGGAUAAAGUGGCCCACGUGUGGGUUUUUGCAGGUACCGCAUGAAUAAGGACCGGCUAAUUCCGUG